CUGAGAAAUCCUGUUUCCUUGGUCAAAUAUGAGUGCACGUUGGCCGCAAGGCUCUUCCUGCACAAGGAAUCUUUAAUUAUGUUCAUGGAUUCACAUUUGACAGUUGAAACAUCUAUCAGCUGCCAAUUAAUUUCUAUUUACAACAAGUAGCUCUCACUAAAGAUUUUACUCGGGGCAACUUCGUCUACAACCUCCUAAUUAUUAAUGAUGUGGGACAUGGAGGUAUUUGACUAGAAGCCCGCCAUUGGCAAAAAGAUAUUUCAAGUGUUAUAUGCAAGCCCACAUGCCAAAAGAGAAGAGGCUUGGUGCACUCUAGGUACAACAAUAUUAUACAUGCUAUACACCUAAUUCAUUUUCCCAUUACCCAGUCAGAGAAUAUCAGCUUCUUAGUAAUAAGAAUAAACUUUCAUACAGCUUUCCUAUUGCUUCAUUAUCUCCCACCUAACUGAAUGACCAUUGAACUUUAUAUUUACAAACCCAGAAAACCUUGGACAGGACACUAACCAGGGAGAAUGAUUGUGCAUCCAAGGCCUGACCUCCUAAUGCAGUAUGGAAAGAUAGCCUAAAUUCAAUCCAAAUUUCCAU
rnacentral:misc_RNA from 1 species